rnacentral:rRNA from 1 species
UCGGGAAUAUUGCGCAAUGGAGGAAACUCUGACGCAGUGACGCCGCGUAUAGGAAGAAGGUUUUCGGAUUGUAAACUAUUGUCGAUAGGGAAGAAAAAAAGACUGUACCUAUCAAGAAAGCUCCGGCUAACUACGUGCCAGCAGCCGCGGUAAUACGUAGGGAGCAAGCGUUAUCCGGAAUUAUUGGGUGUAAAGGGUGCGUAGACGGGAUGUCAAGUUAGUUGUGAAAUACCUCGGCUCAACUGAGGAACUGCAACUAAAACUAACAUUCUUGAGUGCAGGAGAGGAAAGUGGAAUUCCUAG